rnacentral:rRNA from 1 species
AUACGGAGGAUGCGAGCGUUAUCCGGAUUUAUUGGGUUUAAAGGGUGCGUAGGCGGCCUUGUAAGUCAGCGGUGAAAUUUUGCAGCUUAACUGUAAAAGUGCCGUUGAUACUGUGAGGCUAGGAUUUGGUUGCUGUGGGUGGAAUGUGUGGUGUAGCGGUGAAAUGCUUAGAGAUCACACAGAAUAUCGAUUGCGAAGGCAGCUCACAAAGCCAAGAUUGACGCUGAGGCACGAAAGUGUGGGGAUCAAACAGGAUUAGAUACCCUGGUAGUCCACACUGUAAAAGAUGAUAACUCGCUGUCGGCGAUAUACAGUCGGUGGCCAAGCGAAAGCGAUAAGUUAUCCACCUGGGGAGUACGACCGCAAGGUUGAAACUCAAAUGAAUUGGCGGGG